rnacentral:rRNA from 1 species
UACGUAGGGGGCAAGCGUUGUCCGGAUUUAUUGGGCGUAAAGAGCGUGUAGGCGGUUUGGUAGGUCCGUUGUGAAAACUCGAGGCUCAACCUCGAGACGCCGAUGGAAACCAUCAGACUAGAGUCCGGAAGAGGAGAGUGGAAUUCCUGGUGUAGCGGUGAAAUGCGUAGAUAUCAGGAAGAACACCCGUGGCUAAGGCGGCUCUCUAGUACGGUACUGACGCUGAGACGCGAAAGCGUGGGGAGCGAACAGG